rnacentral:rRNA from 1 species
GCUUACAACAUGGCGUUAAUGCACCAGAUCACAUUAUAACUCCAUAGUUAACAGUGCUCAGGCUAGAGUAGUACCGGGAUGGGUGACCACCCAGGAAGUCUGAGUGUUUUAAAUU